AUACCCCCUUCCCCCGUGCAGAAUACCCCAAAUCGAACCAAACCCUAACCUGUGCCUGCCGCCGCCGCCGUCGCGCUCGAUCCAAUUCUCUGCUGCCAUCGCCGCCGGCCUCGCGCUCCACCCAGUCCUCAAUCCGCCGUCCCAGAGCUCGCACUCCCCUACCGCUAGCCUCGCGCUCCACCCCGUCCUCAAUCCGCCGUACUCAAUCCCCUGAGCUCCAGCCCAAGAUCGAGGCGCCGUCCUCGCGCUGCACAUCCAGCCGCCGUCAUCGCCAAUCCUCGUCCUGCGGCUGCCGGGGAUCCAUCACCGGGCUCCCUCUGCUGCCGUACCUGCUGCUGCGGGGCUCCAUAUCCGGGCUCCUGCUGCCGUCGGAGCUCCAUCUCCGGGCUGCCGCUGCUGACGGCGCUGCUGCUGUUCGACUUCUGCCCUGUGCUGCCAGGCUCCAUCUCCGGGCUCAUGAGAUUCGUCCCCGAGAUCUGUCCGUCCACCGCCCCCAACCCCAACCCCAUUCCACGUCCCCGACCCCAUCCCUUCCUCCCUUCCUUGGAGUCACAGCUUCCGACAACUCCGUCCACCAUCGCCUUGCACCUCGGGCUGGAGUGAGUGGGCGCUGCUAGGUCAAAAAUAUACCUGCUGCAUGGCCUAUGCCUUCAAUUCAGUGUACUAGCUGAAGCACAACAAUGCAUGGUCUAAGGCGAUCUCGUGCAGUAAGAUAAUGUGAUGAAUCAUUCAUUCAUAUAUGUGUUCAGAUGCUUCUUUCCAAACAAAUGAAAUGCGUUCAGAUGCAUGUCUUUGGUUCUUGUUUUUCAGUUUUUUUCUUGGGACAGAGAAGUAGUAUGUAUUGCACGUAUCUCCAGAUGAGAUAGAAGAUAGAUAUAUUUAUGUGUCAGAUACUACUGUCUGACUAUUUGUGGUAAUAAGUAUUGGUGUUAAGUAGAAUCUCCAUUUGUGUUACCAUCACAGGACCAUUAAACAGUCAGAUGUGAGCCAUAUAUUUGAUAUGAAGCAAGUUGUCUGAGGAUGUUCACUACCCACCUAAUUUGAGCUCUCUGUUUCCAUAUGCAGGUACCAAAACAACAAGGUUCGUGUCUGGUGUCUCGAUCACUAUCAGGCCAAGGGUGGUUGAUACAUGUCUUCACACUUUUCAUAGCAACGUGCAGUGGAAGAAGCAGCCUAUGAAAUGAAAUAGUUUGCAUAAGAAACAGGCGAUGUACUCAACCAUCUACUGCGCAUGGAUGUGAUGACUUCGGAGUGUUCAGCAGCAUUUGGCUGUUUGCGGUAUUUUGGACCAGCUAACUUGUGAUCAUAAAUCUUAUGUCUGUUCUGGACCAUUUGGUGCUUCCAUGUGUUUUCGGGCAUAUAUCUUGUGCUCAUGCGUGUGACUUUAUUCUGGACCAUUUAGUGUUUGAACUCCUUUAGAACAACAAAUAGUGGUCCUUUUAUGUGGCUUCUGUUUUCUGGAUGGUGGUCCAAAUGGCCAAACUUUGCUUUGUCAAGACUGUCCUGUUUUUGAACUUACGAUCAAUAUAUGCAUGUUUGUGAACAUAUUAUCAA